UUGCGUUUCAACGUUGCCGUCGAAAGAGAGCUCCAAAGAUUACGCGCGGCCGCUGCCACCGUGACCCUGUCGACAAAGGAGAGUUCCACUGCGACCUCUACCUCUCUGUGUUGUGUCUCUGCCUGUGCUGCUCAAAAAGCUUCCAUAUGACAUGGAGACAAUCUUGAUGCAGUGAAGAGCGGGAUUUUGCUGCAGGUUGUUUUACUUUCACGUGUUUUACAACAA
rnacentral:sRNA from 1 species